GUGUGUGUGUGUGUUUGUAAAUCCUGCCAACUGAAUGCACACACACGCUUACGCACCAACAACUGAAUGCACUUGAGCAAGUGAAUGCCGAUUUUCCGGCAUUCACUUGACAUUCUUUUUUUUCCGGUCUAAAAUGAUGUUUUUUAUCAUAUAUGUGAAAAUUGUGACAUGUUUCAGUUGGCAGGAUUUUCGUGUAAUGUGUGUUCCAGUUGUGUGAAAAUUUUUGCAUCGCGCGGUUUUUCAACACACACACGUCAACCAAUGCGCAUGUUCGUUUUCAACCGGAAGCACAUACAGGAGGAAGGUGACUUUUCAGGCACAGACAUGAAGAGAUUGCGGACGCGUUGCCAGAGAAUGGCUUCAAAGAAAAAUGGAUACUCCAUGAUUUCAGAAAGAAAUUUAUGCAGACAAAGGGCGAGGUGUAAAAACAAUCAAUUAAAGGCGGCAUGGCGACCUCCUUCUCCCUUACCAUGAAUCUAUGAUUUCAAAAGAAAAAUGGGACAGAAGGGAAUAGCAAAGAAGCUCUGGAUUUAGUCGGGGUUUUUUUUGACUGAAGGAAACAGUUCUGUGUGGAUGCAACCGAAGAAAAUGAAUUAUUGGGAGACUGGUAAACCUGGUGAUGUAUGGCAAACAUUCCAAGCAAAACAUGAAAUGUGUUGAUGGCCACCUAUGUCACUUUUCAACAAGGCUAAAUAUGGAGGGCAAGGCUACAGCGCAAGUCCUUUGUCAGAAGGUCAUGGACAAUUCAGGAAAAGGCUGCAGUACAACAGCAACUAGGGAAACAUCUUUUGCUGAAAAUGUUACCAGGGAAGGCUAAUUGUUAAGAGGUCCUCCGAAAAGAACCAGUGUUGCAUGGCAGAACCUGGAAACAAACUAAGGACCUCAUCUGGAACUGUAAUAUAAGAAGACAGUCAAGGAGAAUUUGCUUGUAUCAGAUCAGGCUGUUAGUGAGACUAUAUGAUAUUGCUGCCUAUUGAUUGUGUGUAUCCAAUAUG